UGCCUUCCUUUCUCCAUCUCCUUCUCCAGUCGCUGCCUUCCGUCCCCUCCUAGCUGCUUCUCUCGGCUCCGAGUCCACACUGGGGCAAGUAUCGACGCCGCGACGUCCAGGCCGACCCACACCGUGCGGUGGUGUGCGCCUGGAUUUCGGGGGGCCGCACCGACUCGUCCCCGGGGAGCUGCGUCGUGGUGGGCGUUGCCACCGAACGCGAAGGGAAGCGAUGACUCCACUGCCCGAGCGGCGGCGGACGGCAGGAUAUGGCGCUAGCGAGAUGGUUCGUUGAGCCGCGGCAGAGGCAGCUGUCGCUGGUUAGGAAGGCAGCAACACAGCCACGGUUCAGGCCGCCCAUCUCUGUCCGAUGCUGCCGCGCUGAGGCACCAAGCGAGCCGCAUCGAGUCGGCACUCUACAGGCGCCUGGCUGAGGCGGCUCCGUUGUGCUGGGAUGCUGUCGUCCCUUCUUCAAUGGCGUCCGUCGCAGACGGCGUCCUCACCCCCAGAGCUAAAGUUUAGUGGGCUUAAAUUCCAACUGGGCCACUAAGUUAAUGGGCUGCCACGUAAUUCCAUGUCAGCAGAUGAUGUGGCAUACAAGUUAACGUCGUUAUAAGCACUUCAGUUAGGUGCAAUUCACGACGGACAAAAUCCGUCACGGAGUGUACAAUCAUCAAUUAUGACGCGAUAUACAUGACAGAUUUCAAAUCCA